CCUACGGGAGGCAGCAGUGGGGAAUAUUGCGCAAUGGGCGAAAGCCUGACGCAGCGACGCCGCGGGAGGGAGGAAGAUCUUCGGAUCGUAAACCUCUGUCAGCAGGGAAGAACGGUCACUGUGCUAAUCAGCAGUGAAUUGACGGUACCUGCAAAGGAAGACCCGGCUAACUCCGUUCCAGCAGCCGCGGUAAGACGGAGGGUGCGAGCGUUAAUCGGAAUUACUGGGCGGAAAGCGCUCGUAGGCGGUAUGUCAAGUCAAGGGUGAAAUCCCCGCGCUCAACGUGGGAACUGCCUUUGAAACUGGCAAACUGGAGAGUGUGAGAGGAUAGUGGAAUUCCAGGUGUAGGAGUGAAAUCCGUAGAUAUCUGGAGGAACAUCAGUGGCGAAGGCGACUAUCUGGCACAUAACUGACGCUGAGGAGCGAAAGCGUGGGUAGCAAACAGGAUUAGAUACCCUAGUAGUC
rnacentral:rRNA from 1 species